rnacentral:rRNA from 1 species
GUCUAUGGCCAUGCCACCCUGAACGUGCCCGAUCCUGUCUGGUCUUGGAAGCUAAGCAGGGUUGGGCCUGGUUAGUACUUAGAUGGGAGACCACCUAGAAAGACCAGGUGCUGUAGGCG